GAUGAAGAACGUAGCAAAAUGCGAUACUUGGUGUGAAUUGCAGAAUCCCGUGAACCAUCGAGUUUUUGAACGCAAGUUGCGCCCGAAGCCUUUUGGCCGAGGGCACGUCUGCCUGGGCGUCACGCAUCGCGUCGCCCCCCACAAUUCUCCGUAAAGGGAACAUGUGUUUUGGGGGCGGAUAUUGGUCUCCCGUGCUCAUGGCGUGGUUGGCCGAAAUAGGAGUCCUUUCGAUGGACGCACGAACUAGUGGUGGUCGUAAAAACCCUCGUCUUUUGUUUCGUGCUGUUGCUCGCAAGGUAAACUCUUUAAAAACCCCAAUGUGUCGUCUCUUGACGACGCUUCGACCGCGACCCCAGGUCAGGCGGGACUACCCGCUGAGUUUAAGCAUAUCAAUAAGCGGAGA
rnacentral:misc_RNA from 1 species